rnacentral:rRNA from 1 species
CAGUCGCCGCGGGAACACAGAGGGUGCGAGCGUUAAUCGGAUUUACUGGGCGUAAAGCGUGCGUAGGCGGCUAAUUGAGUCGGAUGUGAAAUCCCCGAGCUUAACUUGGGAAUUGCAUUCGAUACUGGUUAGCUAGAGUGUGGGAGAGGAUGGUAGAAUUCCAGGUGUAGCGGUGAAAUGCGUAGAGAUCUGGAGGAAUACCGAUGGCGAAGGCAGCCAUCUGGCCUAACACUGACGCUGAGGUACGAAAGCAUGGGGAGCAAACAGGAUUAGAUACCCCUGUAGUCCCUGUCUCUUAUAC